rnacentral:lncRNA from 1 species
CAGGCCCCACACUCGCUCCCCCAACCGCUGCAAUCUGGAAGAAAUUACUCUUUCCAAACAGCCAGACUUCCCCACUUGCAGGAAAUUCCAGGCUGGCAGGGGAGGGGCCGGGCUGGGGGGCCGCCCCGUCCAUCCAAUCCCCCACCCCCUCCGCGGUCCUUCCACCCGCACAUCCAGUCCCGGCCACUUCCCGCCCCCACACUCAGCCUGGAGGGGCCUCCGCUUUUCCGCCGCGGCUUCUUAGUCCUUAAAUCCUAGAGGCCAACUUUUUUUGGGGGGUGGGGGGGGGUCGGGGGAGGGGGAUAAGGGAGGCCUGGGAGGGGCCUACUGCCUUAACCCUCUCGGCCCCAGACGGGACUGGGCGGGAACUCUGCGCCCCUCUGGGCUCCCAUCAUGGCCCCCGAGAGGGGCUGAGGCUUCCGUUCCCGGUGCAGGUGAGAUCCCGCCCGAAGGAAGGCGGAGGGAGGCGCGGGCCUGGGACCAGGAGGCGGAGGCGGGCCCCGAACCGAGAGGAGCGGGUCCCGGGCGGAGCCGGAGCCUGAGAGCGCGCGCGUCCGGUUCGGCAAGGACCGCGAGGGGACUGUUGGGAGGACUACAUGAGUUCCUUCAUGUGCCUGAAGCGCUUAGACCCCUGCCUGGCCCAGGUGACUGUUAA